AAUUCCUCUACAGAAGGGACCCUCAAAGGUCAUCUAGUUUAACUCACCUGCAACGAACAGAGAUGCUUACAGCUAGCUCAGAGUCCCUAAAUAUUAAUAGCAUGUGUCAAAUUUAAUUACGAUGUGUUUGUUUUAAGCCCAUCUCUACAUAUCUCCUUUUUCUGAGGCACCUGCAAAUGUCUCUCAAGAAUCAUCCCAAAAUAAAUGUCAAGCUCACUAAAUUAUUGAAUUUGUAAACAAAAUGACAUCAUUUACCAGCUAAGUAACAAAAAAGUGGUUCAUGCAUGUAUUCUCCAGAAUUGUCCUUCUGACCUUAAGAAGGAAACCUCAUACUCAGGCCUUCUUCUGCAGAGAAAAUUGGUAUUCUCUUACCUGAUACAAAAAUCCCAAUCAUGAACAUGAGCUCUGUCAGAACCCUCUAAACGACAGCAGUCUGAAGGAAUAUUGUAUGGGAACUGUUGAGUCACAGCCUGAACCACUGAUUGAGCACCUGAGGCAAGGACUGAGGACCUGGGAGCACAGCAUGGAUUGGAAGAGCACCAUGACCAAAGAGCUGAAUAAAUCUUGAGGGUGCCAGUUGGAGGAACUCAACAAUCAGAAGUUAAAAAUCCAGGAAUCACAAAAUCAGUUGUAAAAAAAAAAC
rnacentral:lncRNA from 1 species